GAACAUGCAUACAUAUGUGGUGGGAGUGCCCAUAUGUCAUGUCAUUCUGGAGGGCUGUUAGAAACCAGGUGUUCUCUAGGACGCCGGACCUAGACCCAUGGGUAUAUCUACUGAAUAGAUCCGUCGAUGGAUGGAACCUACGAGAACAAACAUUGAUACAUAAAAUUAUGUUAGCUGCACGACACGCUAUAGCAUACACAUGGCUAAAACCAGACUUACCCCACAUAGCAAGCGUGAUAACUAGAAUCAAAGAGAUAC